rnacentral:rRNA from 1 species
UACGUAGGGAGCGAGCGUUGUCCGGAUUCAUUGGGCGUAAAGAGCUCGUAGGCGGCUUGGUAAGUCGGAUGUGAAACCUCCAGGCUCAACCUGGAGUCGCCAUCCGAUACUGCCAUGGCUAGAGUCCGGUAGGGGCCCACGGAAUUCCUGGUGUAGCGGUGAAAUGCGCAGAUAUCAGGAGGAACACCGAUGGCGAAGGCAGAUGGGCUGGGCCGGCACUGACGCUGAGGAGCGAAAGCGUGGGGAGCGAACAGG